UGGCGGACGGGUGAGUAACGCGUGGAAAACCUGCCGUAUACUGGGGGAUAACACUUAGAAAUAGGUGCUAAUACCACAUAAGCGCACAGCUUCGCAUGAAGCGGUGUGAAAAACUCUGGUGGUAUACGAUGGUUCCGCGCCUGAUUAGCUAGUUGGUGGGGUAAUGGCCUACCAAGGCAACGAUCAGUAGCCGGCCUGAGAGGGUGAACGGCCACAUUGGGACUGAGACACGGCCCAAACUCCUACGGAAGGCAGCAG
rnacentral:rRNA from 1 species